ACGGGAGGCAGCAGUGAGGAAUAUUGGUCAAUGGACGGAAGUCUGAACCAGCCAAGUAGCGUGCAGGAUGACGGCCCUAUGGGUUGUAAACUGCUUUUAUAUGGGGAUAAAAAAGAGUACGUGUACUUUCUUGCAGGUACCAUAUGAAUAAGGACCGGCUAAUUCCGUGCCAGCAGCCGCGGUAAUACGGAAGGUCCGGGCGUUAUCCGGAUUUAUUGGGUUUAAAGGGUGCGUAGGCUGUGCUGCAAGUCAGGGGUGAAAGCCCGGCGCCUAACGCCGGAACUGCCUUUGAUACUGCAGCGCUGGAAUACGGAUGCCGUGGGAGGAAUGAGUAGUGUAGCGGUGAAAUGCAUAGAUAUUACUCAGAACACCGAUUGCGAAGGCAUCUCACGAAUCCGUCAUUGACGCUGAGGCACGAAAGCGUGGGGAUCAAACAGGAUUAGAUACCCUGGUA
rnacentral:rRNA from 1 species